rnacentral:tRNA from 1 species
GCGGGUGUAGCUCAAUGGUUAGAGUCCCAGCCUUCCAAGCUGGUUAUGCGGGUUCGAUUCCCGUCACCCGCU